GGGCUUCACACGUCAUACAAUGGUCGGUACAGAGGGUUGCCAAGCCGCGAGGCGGAGCCAAUCCCACAAAGCCGAUCGUAGUCCGGAUUGUUCUCUGCAACUCGAGAGCAUGAAGUCGGAAUCGCUAGUAAUCGCAGGUCAGCAUACUGCGGUGAAUACGUUCCCGGGUCGUU
rnacentral:rRNA from 1 species